rnacentral:rRNA from 1 species
CUGGCUCAGGAUGAACGCUGGCGGCGUGCCUAAUACAUGCAAGUCGAACGCGGGCACUUGUGCCCGAGUGGCGAACGGGUGAGUAAUACAUAAGUAACCUGGCCUUUACAGGGGGAUAACUGCUGGAAACGGCAGCUAAGACCGCAUAGGUAGGGACACUGCAUGGUGACCGUAUUAAAAGUGCUGCAAGGCACUGGUAGAGGAUGGACUUAUGGCGCAUUAGCUGGUUGGUGAGGUAACGGCUCACCAAGGCGACGAUGCGUAGCCGACCUGAGAGGGUGACCGGCCACACUGGGACUGAGACACGGCCCAGACUCCUACGGGAGGCAGCAGUAGGGAAUUUUCGGCAAUGGGGGGAACCCUGACCGAGCAACGCCGCGUGAAGGAAGAAGGAAUUCGUUCUGUAAACUUCUGUUAUAAAGGAAGAAAGACGGAUGGAGGAAAUGACAUCCGAGUGACGGUACCUUAUGAGAAAGCCACGGCUAACUACGUGCCAGCAGCCGCGGUAAUACGUAGGUGGCAAGCGUUAUCCGGAAUUAUUGGGCGUAAAGAGGGAGCAGGCGGCAGCAAAGGUCUGUGGUGAAAGACUGAAGCUUAACUUCAGUAAGCCAUAGAAACCGGGCAGCUAGAGUGCAGGAGAGGAUCGUGGAAUUCCAUGUGUAGCGGUGAAAUGCGUAGAUAUAUGGAGGAACACCAGUGGCGAAGGCGACGAUCUGGCCUGCAACUGACGCUCAGUCCCGAAAGCGUGGGGAGCAAAUAGGAUUAGAUACCCUAGUAGUCCACGCCGUAAACGAUGAGUACUAAGUGUUGGAAGUCAAAUUUCAGUGCUGCAGUUAACGCAGUAAGUACUCCGCCUGAGUAGUACGUUCGCAAGAAUGAAACUCAAAGGAAUUGACGGGGGCCCGCACAAGCGGUGGAGCAUGUGGUUUAAUUCGAAGCAACGCGAAGAACCUUACCAGGUCUUGACAUACUCAUAAAGGAUCCAGAGAUGGAUAGAUAGUUAUAUGAGAUACAGGUGGUGCAUGGUUGUCGUCAGCUCGUGUCGUGAGAUGUUGGGUUAAGUCCCGCAACGAGCGCAACCCUUGUCGUUAGUUACCCUCAUUAAGUUGGGGACUCUAGCGAGACUGCCAGUGACAAGCUGGAGGAAGGCGGGGAUGACGUCAAAUCAUCAUGCCCCUUAUGACCUGGGCUACACACGUGCUACAAUGGAUGGUGCAGAGGGAAGCGAAGCCGCGAGGCGAAGCAAAACCCAUAAAACCAUUCUCAGUUCGGAUUGUAGUCUGCAACUCGACUACAUGAAGUUGGAAUCGCUAGUAAUCGCGAAUCAGCAUGUCGCGGUGAAUACGUUCUCGGGCCUUGCACACACCGCCCGUCA